CCUGAGGGAGCUUGAUCUAAG
rnacentral:siRNA from 1 species